UUCUCAUUUCUAUCUCUACCAGAGCUAGGUGUGUAGGGCUAAAAGCUGAGAACGCCAAAGACAUCUUCUGCAGCUCCUUUCUCUGUGCCUUGGACGACCCUCCUAGCUACAAAUUCUAGGCAGUCUGUUCUGCUUGGGCACGUGUUACUUUGUUCUCAAGCCCACCACACCAUGCAGACAUCACCACAAGGCCCAACAUCUCCUUCUGGAGACCAGCACGUCCUUCAGGGUCAAGGAACUGGUUUUGGAUCCAGAGGAACAACGCCCCUCAUGUUUGGAAUUCUACAGAAGAGAGGAAGAACUCAGACAGAAAGCUAAGAAAUGAACCAAUGUGAUGAAAAACAGAUGAAAGCCCCUUUCUUCUUAAAUGAGGACAUUGCAUUCAAAACAAGGAUGAACACUGUGUUGGGAAAUUUCAAGUUCUGCUUACUGUUUUGCUCUCGGGGCAAUUUUGAUAAAUAAGAUCCCAUUGUGAUUCAUCGGCUUUUCCAAAUUUGCUAUAAGCUCCUUUAGCUUGGUGGUGGUAGGUUGAUAGGUUAUAAAGAAAACAGGAAGAGAAAUCCAGGCUAAAAUGCUUUUUUAAGAGUUAGUGCCCUUAAGGGCACCACUUGAUUCAGCUUCUACAUCUUUCCAUAUAUCCUAUUAUUUCUGAACUCACUUUGCCUAUAUGUCCUCAAAAUACCUAAAAAUAUACAUUCCUUACUAGAUGGCACUAAAUUUCAUUUUAAAUUUUAAAAGAGGAAAAAAGUUAGUGCCUUUUAUCCUGAAGUCUGACAUUUCUUCAUGAAUCAGAAUAUCUGGAGUUUCUGUGGUCCAUCA